ACAGUAAUGUGUACAAAAAAGACUCAGAAGAAUCUAUGCAAUAAUCCCAGAGGACAUCUGCAAGAUACCAGAGAGACCGGUAGGAGGGGAUUAAGGGUGAGGAGAAGCCAUUAAUGUUGUUGGUACCGAUGCUGGUACGUGAUCAGUGGUUUAACAGGUUUGGACAAUGUGAUGUUCUGCAGGGUGAAAUAGGACUGGACAGCUGUGGCACUCCUACACCUGUACCAGAGAUUGUUCCUUGAAGCCAGUUCAAGCUGGACAUGAUUUAUUUUUGCGAUUGUAAAAAGGAUAAGGAGCUGUGGUCCUAAUAGCACAAAGGAAAGAAGCAGGAAGCGACUCAGGAGAAGCUACAGCAAUGGAAAGGCAUUGAAGUGAAUGGUCACCAUUACCUCUCUGGGUCAAAGAGACUGUGCACAGCAGUUCUGCUGAAAGUUCUCUAAACGGAAAGCAAAAGCCAUUCUACAAGCUGUAGCAGAUAUGAAACAUGAAAUCCACUAUCCUAAAGCAAAAUAUGGAUCAUUGCAAUCACCUAUGACAAAUG